UUAGCUUGGCAUCAUUCAAUGGACAUUUGUUGUUCAAAAGAAGAAAAGUCAAAAAUGAGAGUGAACGGUGACUGCUUAUUGCAUAAGCUCUUAAAUCUGCUAACCGUACAUAGCUCACGCAGCUGUCUACAGUUGCUGGGCUCGUUCCGGGUCAGAAAUUUAAAGUUUACUGCGGCGUGGGGCUACAUCGUCGUUCUGCUGUCGUGUACAUUUAAGAAUGUGGUGUGGAAAGAGUUCUGACUUUUCCUGGAGUAAAGAUAUAUGUCGGCCGUCUUUGUCACGGAGAAGUCUUUAAAGCUUUAAAGCUCUGAGCUUGACCUAUUAAAAGACAAAAGAUACAUUUGCACGUCACGAGUAAUGUGACCUACUGAAAAAAAAUCGGGCAAUUUGAAAAUUUAGUCAAGUUCACACAUGCACAAUCAACCCCUCAUUGGUGUGAUCCUCUGAUCCGGGAAAUCGAGAUGUCCUCUCACAAACAACAGUUAUUAGUAACAAGCAUAACACGAUUUUCCAAUCUAUUAACGAAGUUUGAGCAUUUAGGGUCAAAGCAGAGACUUGGGUCGAUGUGAAUCGGCUUAAAAAUAACAAAUUUGGGGUAUCUUUAUUUUACAUCUUGGUCGAGACCUGUCACCAGCAAUAUGAUUUCAUGUUGCCUUAUUCAGGCGGGCGAAACUCACGUUACAUGCGAUCUGAUCAUCUGACUCUCACGAUCGAGAUCGGUAGCUUUAACUCACCAGCUCCAACACGGUUUUUUAGACUUUUUUCGGUUUUUCGAGCUGCCCUUCUCCCCUGAGGCCACGAUGAAAAACAUACAAUAUAUUAUAUCUUUAUUCUUUAUAUGUUACAUGCAUUCCCCUGCAGUAGUGAAAAGUAAAUUGUUUGUUUUAUUUCAGUGUCGACAGCUCAAACUAUGGUGGUAUCUUAUCGCUACAAUGCUGCUAACUAGACUCUUGGAUGAAGUUAAGUUGUUUUAGUCAGAUGAUCUACUUUUUGGCGUUUCCUACUGCCCUAGUUAUAGUAGUUCAAGGUUUAACUGUAAAUAUAGUGUUAAGUAAGUUUCAAUACUUCCCUGCCACCUUUUCAGACAUUGCAGAGAUGUGUGACCGCACAAUUCUCAAACCGAAGAAUCAAAAGGAGUUAUUGAUUUAUCGGUAUAUAAAGUAUGUAUGCUUUAUCAAACAAAGCCACUAGGUAUUCGUGACACAGUUUACGUGUGAUGACGUGGGCAUCUCUCAACACACUUUGCAGCAUGAGCGACGGUGCCGUGGCGGGAUAUCUGGAAAUGUAGCCUUGAGCUCAGUUUAUUUUUCUCCGUCACCUCACCCGGGGGAGGGGGGGGGGGGAGCCAAUGACUUUGGGUACUUUGGGGACAAGUGCAGAAUUUCGCCAGCAAUUUAACCUCAAGUCUCCAAGAUUUUUAGCCCCCAUUGGUACCCAAAAGUCUCCUUUAGAAGUCAUUUAAUAAAA